UGGUAUCUUUGUCAACGGGCCUCCAAAUAACAAUAGCAAUAUCAUACAGCAGGAGAAAGUAAAAAACUUUGCUUACGUUCAGUUAUAGUGGGUUGCUUACAAUCACUAGCUGAUAAACCAUUCAAUUAGUUUAGGUUUAUUGGUUUACUCAGAAUUAUAUAUGUGGUUUCUUCUGGCUGUUUAUUACGGAAUUUCCUAGGUUUAUUGAUUGCUGUUUGAGGCCUUAGGGUUUUCAGAUAUUCUGGAACUUGCUGUUUUUUGCCUUUUCCCUCCUCUCCUUUUUAUUGGUUUUCUGAGAAGAUAAAUUGUUCCUUGUGGAGUCUUCACCAACUACAGGGUCCCUACCCUCCGCAAGCUUCAACAAACAGUACAUGGUUCUAAGGCCUCUGCUACAUUUGCAGUAACCACUGCAUGCUUCAAUACCAAUACUGUUGAUGACAGGAAAUCAAGCUUCUUUGAGUUUAAACCGCUCAACAGGUUGAAUAUGGUUCCUGCAGACG